UACGGAAGGUGCAAGCGUUGUUCGGAAUGACUGGGCGUAAAGCGCACGUAGGCGGUCUUGUAAGUCGGAUGUGAAAUCCCCGGGCUUAACCCGGGAACUGCAUCCGAAACUACAAAACUUGAAUGCUUGAGAGGUUGGUGGAAUUCCAGGUGUAGGAGUGAAAUCCGUAGAUAUCUGGAGGAACAUCGGAGGCGAAGGCGGCCAACUGGCAAUGCAUUGACGCUGAGGUGCGAAAGCGUGGGGAGCAAACAGG
rnacentral:misc_RNA from 1 species